GAUAAAAAAAGACCACCCACAAAGUAUAAAUGAAAGUCAGUGGACAGAUUAUUCAUGUGCACAUUCUCUUAAUAAUGAAAGUUUUUUUUUUAUCACUUUUUCAUCUUUGCAAUAUUACAAAAUGCAAUUCAUAAUGAUAUCAUCGCUUAGGAAGUGCCAUCAACAUUUUGGAGGGAAGAAACAUGGAAAACAACAGUACCAGGGCGUGAUGAGCUCAUUAAGAUGGAUCAAUCUGAGGAAGCAGUGCCUGCUGAACUGAUAACGCCACAUCCAUGUCUGAUACCUGUUCCUGCCAUCCUGGCUCCCCAUCGACCUGACAUCAGGGCACACUGACAUCCAGAGCUUUUCAGCAUUACUGCUCCCCUGGAGGGAUCAUAGGAGUCUUUCAUCUGAGCACUGACGACGGUGGAGCAGCUCUUUGAUCAGUGUUAUUAUUUAGACGAUUCGUCAUUUUGAUGUGUGGUUUAGUAUGUGCCUCUCACACAAGUUGGCAGGUUUCACUGUGAGUUUCCUCGGGGUAAAUAGUCCGUUGGAGAAAGUCCGAUCAGAAUAUCCAAGAUCAAUGGUAACAGUUCGAUCCAUAUUUUUAAGUGUCAACUUCAUGGUUUGGUUUUAAAUUGUAAGUGACACAAACAAUAGCAUAUGUCAGACGCAUGCAGAGACGCUACUAGCAAAGUGAAAAUAUGGAGUCUGUUUCAAAAGGAGGGAAAAAAAAGAAAUAACAUGUUAGCAGAUGUAUUAAUUCCUCCAUAGCUGCGGCUAUUUUUAGGCCACGGUUAAACGUUUCAUCCUACAUAUUGUGACAGAUCGAUGGGAAAAUAAAUAAAUAAAUAAAUGGGAUAGACAUAGCCAACGAAACCUA